CCAGCAUUCUUCACUCUGAUGCUGCUAUAUUAGCAAAACAAGGUCCGGAUGUUCUCAUGUUGACCAUUGGAUCAGAUAUUGCUCGAGGUCCUAACACACCAAGACCCCCAUGUCGUGGUUACCUUUACAAGCGUACCCAGUCUGGCCUGAUUAAAGGCUGGAGGAAGAGGUGGUUUGUUCUCACACAUGACUGCUGCCUUCACUACUACAAACACAAAAGAGAUGAAGGCAAGAGGCAGCCAUUGAUAUCAGUGCAGCUGGAAGGGGCUAUGGUGGCUCCGGAUAAUUCCCUGGGAA